CAGAACACCAAACUGCCGCUUCCGCACUGCUUCCUUGUUUAUUAGUUUUAGGUGAAAUAGUGCCUUCAGAAGAGUAAGAAGUGUAUUUAUUCUGUCUUUGGAAACGGCGAGUAAUUCUCCACAACCUUUCUGAAUCCCCAGCUAACUGACGUGCUAACACAGAGAAACUGAAUACGUUUGAUGUCCAGGAGGGAGCCAGGAUCUGAGUUUCACCACAACCAAGUCUAGGUUCAGCUUCUGGUCUGAAUGGCCACAGCUGCAGAGGAGCCUCCAGGGCUGCCUGGCAUCUCUGGCAUUUCGGCUGCGACUCGAAAAAAUGCGCCUCCGGAGAGUCCCAUCACCACCAUGUCUCCGGCCAUGAAAAAAACCAUCGGCCAUCGAGGAAUUGACACCACGGGGGAGACGACGUAUAAGAAGG